GACGUAGGGCGCGAGCGUUGUCCGGAUUUAUUGGGCGUAAAGAGCUCGUAGGCGGCUUGUCGCGUCGAAUGUGAAAUCUCAGGGCUCAACUCUGACAUUGCAUUCGAUACGGGCAGGCUAGAGUUCGGUAGGGGAGACUGGAAUUCCUGGUGUAGCGGUGAAAUGCGCAGAUAUCAGGAGGAACACCAACGGCGAAGGCAGCUCGCUGGGACGGUACUGACACUGAGGCGCGAAAGCGUGGGGAGCGAACAGG
rnacentral:rRNA from 1 species